CGGCGAACGGGUGAGUAAUGCUUUGGAAUCUUCCCAGUAGUGGGGAAUAACCAGUCGAAGAUUGGCUAAUACCGCAUACGUCUGUAAAGGGAAAGCGGGGGCUCGUAAGACCUCGCGCUAUUGGAUGAGCCAAAGUCGGAUUAGCUUGUUGGUGGGGUAAUGGCCUACCAAGGCGACAAUCCGUAGCUGGUCUGAGAGGACGACCAGCCACACCGGAACUGAGACACGGUCCGG
rnacentral:rRNA from 1 species